AUACUCACCUGGCAGGGAAGAACCAUGAUCAUGAAGGGGGUUUUCCCAGGGCAAGGCUUAUCCAUUGCACUCCAGAUGUGCUGAUCCCCACGAUUUCCCCAAAUGUGGGAAACAUAACUGCACAAUUAAUGGGGGACUGCAUUUGUGUUCUCUUCUG